rnacentral:rRNA from 1 species
CCUACGGGUGGCAGCAGUGAGGAAUAUUGGUCAAUGGGCGCGAGCCUGAACCAGCCAAGUCGCGUGAGGGAAGACGGCCCUACGGGUUGUAAACCUCUUUUGCCGGGGAGCAACGGGCGCCACGUGUGGCGCCCCUGAGAGUACCCGUAGAAAAAGCAUCGGCAAACUCCGGGCCAGCAGCCGCGGUAAUACGGGGGAUGCGAGCGUUAUCCGGUUUUAUUGGGUUUAAAGGGUGCGUAGGCGGAGCGUUAAGUCAGCGGUAAAAUGUCCGGGCUCAACCCGGGCCGGCCGUUGAAACUGGGGGUCUUGAGUGGGCGAGAGGUAGGCGGAAUGCGUGGUGUAGCGGUGAAAUGCAUAGAUAUCACGCAGAACUCCGAUUGCGAAGGCAGCAUACCGGAGCCCGACUGACGCUGAGGCACGAAAGCGUGGGGAUCGAACAGGAUUAGAUACCCCUGUAGUC